rnacentral:rRNA from 1 species
UACGUAGGGUGCGAGCGUUAAUCGGAAUUACUGGGCGUAAAGCGUGCGCAGGCGGUUCGUUGUGUCGGCGGUGAAAGCCCCGGGCUUAACCUGGGAAUGGCCGUCGAAACUGGCGAACUGGAGUGUGGCAGAGGGGGGUGGAAUUCCGCGUGUAGCAGUGAAAUGCGUAGAGAUGUGGAGGAACACCGAUGGCGAAGGCAGCCCCCUGGGCUGAGAUUGACGCUCAGGCACGAAAGCGUGGGGAGCAAACAGG